GUCUUAUUGAAUUUAAUUUUAAGUCUAACCUGCUCAAUGAAUAAUUUAAAUGGCUGCAGUAACAAUAACUGUACUAAGGUAGCAUAAUCAUUAGAUUUCUAAUUAAAAUCUUGUAUGAAAGGUUGAAUGAAAUAUAAACUGUCUCAAAUAAAUUUAUUAAAUUUAUUUUUUAAGUAAAAAAACUUAAAUAAAAUUAAAAGACAAGAAGACCCUAUAGAAUUUUACAUUAAAUUUAUUAUUUAAAAUAAAUAAAAUACUAUUUAAUUAAAUUUAAUAUUUAAUUGGGGCAAUUUUUAAAUUUAAUAAACUUUAAAAUACUACUAACAAUUAUAAUUGAACUAAUUUAUAUUCUUAUAAUAUAAUAUAAUAAAAUUAAUUACCUUAGGGAUAACAGCAUAAUUUUUUUUUUUAGACCUAAUAACUAAAAAAGAUUAUGACCUCGAUGUUGAAUUAAGAAAAAAUUAAAUAGAAAAAAAUUUAAAAUUUAAGUCUGUUCGACUUUUAAAAUCUUACAU
rnacentral:rRNA from 1 species